rnacentral:rRNA from 1 species
UACGGGGGGGGCAAGCGUUGUCCGGAAUUAUUGGGUGUAAAGGGCGCGUAGGCGGAUUUGUAAGUCAGUGGUGAAAUCUCGGGACUUAACUCCGAGUCUGCCGCUGAGACUGCUUUUCUUGAGUGUGGAAGAGGAAAUCGGAAUUCCCGGUGUAGCGGUGAAAUGCGUAGAUAUCGGGAAGAACACCAGUGGCGAAGGCGGAUUUCUGGUCCAUAACUGACGCUGAGGCGCGAAAGCGUGGGUAGCAAACAGG